rnacentral:rRNA from 1 species
UAUUCUGGUGUUAUAUGUGUAGAGGAACCACACCAUCCUCUCCGAACUUGGUGGUUAAACUCUAUUUCGGUGACGAUACUACCGGGGGGACCCCGUGGGAAAAUAGCUCAAUGCCAGAUA